rnacentral:lncRNA from 1 species
UUUUUUGCUUUUUAGGACCAUAUCUGCGGUAUAUGGAAGUUCCCAGGCUAGGGGUCGAAUUGGAGCUGUAGCUGUCAGCCUUUGCCAUAGCCACAGCAAUGAGGAAUCUGAGCUGUGUCUGUGACCUAUUCCACAGCUCACAGCAAUGCUGGAUCCUUAACCCACUGAGCGAGGCCAGGGAUUGAACCCUCAUUCUCAUGGAUACCAGUUGGGUUGGUUACCCCUGAGCCACAAUGGGAACUCCCUCAGUCUGGUUCAUAGGAAGAUUAUCUUGCUUCUAAAAAUGCAAAUACUGACUCAUUAAUUACUGAUAUUAAUUACAUAACAGUAUGGUGGGACAUCUGAGGAGAUGAAGGCUUUAUGAAUGGAGAUUAUACCACCCAGAGGCCCCGCCGAGGAAAGAGAGGAAGCUCAGCCUCAGAAUCCAAGGAUCCCCAAGGAGAAGGAGAAAACCAGUAAAUACUCUCUGGGAUUCUCACAUCCUUCCAGCCCAGCCUUACUGAUAACCCAGAAAGCAAAAUAACACUUGCAACCCUAUACAGCUUGCAGUGGAGAAAUGAGAAUUCAAACUCUGGUCUGUCUGGCUCCCAAAGCACUACUCUUCCUCCAGAGUGCGACUGUUCCCAGGACAUAAACAUACCAUUGAGGUCACAAUCUCACCCCCUCACCCCCACUUCCCACCUCCAGAAAGUGUCACUUUCUUAGAUGUAAAGACUUUAAUCUGUAAUUGAACCAGACUAUCAAAUGCCAGGAUAACCCACAUUUAGCAAACAGAAUGUGGGGAACAUUUCAAGAAAGAGGUUUCUGAGGGUUUUUUUUUUUUUCUUUUUUUGAAAUGCCAUUCCCAUGAAUCAUAUAAUUCAACAAAUCCCGGUCUCAGUAUGGAGUGGAGAGCUCAGGAGCCUGUGCAGGCAGGUACUGUUAAUAGAAGAAGCCUAAAUAGGUGUUUCCUUGCUUUGGAAGGAUGCUGUCAACUUUUAGGAAGAGGAGGAGGGAAAAAAGGGUCAGAACUGUGAUGCCACAAGCACUCUCUUAAAUUCUCCAGUAUUCUCAAGUGCGUUUUUCUAUGAUUGAGGAAACAGGACAGUUAAGCAACAAGCAUGGAGUCACACAGCUUGUAUAGGUUGGAGCUAAGUUUUCAAGGCAACACUAACCCCCCCCACCUCCUGCCAAUAUUCCCAGCAGGCACAUCUUCUCUUGACUUAGCUUGUUCAAGUCAAUUUUAAGACAUAUAAAACUCCUAUAAAUGUUAGAAAGUUUAAAUCACACAGCCACCAUUUCUACUCAGUUCUCUUUCUACUCUUAAAUCUUACCAGCCUAUGUCCCAGGCUCCCCUUGGUACAAUGUGAACAUUUCACUGCACUUCUGAAGAAAAUACAAAAUGUAAAGGAACCUACAAUAAGCAUCUUGUGAAUAGAGACCAUACUUUGUCUGUUCUAUGCAUCGCUCUAUUCAAGGCCUGGCCCAGAGUAGGUACUUAAUAGAUAUUGAAGGAGGAGGGUGGGAUGAUGGAAGGAGAGAGGGAGGGAAGAAAGAAGGAAGGGAAUGUUGUAGAAGUUAAAAAAAAAAAGGGUAAAAUUUGGGAGCUGAUUAUAUGGUAAGGUGUUAAGAGAGAAGAGAAAGAAUCCAAGAAGAUGCAAACAUGCGCCAUCAAGAAUCUUACUGUCUAGAAGACAAAAGUUAUGUCUGUGAAUAUUUUUUUUUAUCAUUGGUUUACAGAGUUUUUUUUUCCCUGCACCUAUGGCUCAUGGAAGCUCCCAGGCCAGGGGUUGAAUCUGAGCUACAGUUGCGACCUGCACUACAGCUGCAGCAACGCCAGAUCUUUAACCCAUCAUGCCACAGUGGGAACUCAUAGAAUGUGUUCUCUUUCGUAAGUGAGAAAGUGUUCCAAUUAUUUUUUUUAUUCUGAAGUUUACAUUCAGUUCCACCACUUAAGUUGCAAGCAAGGAAAAGAUUUAGCCACAUAUGUACUUUCUGUAUUCAUAUCUGAAAAAAAAAAUCUGCUGAAAUGCUUUUGAAUAAGACUCAAGAAAAUGGCCUGAGCCAAUCAAUAAGUCAGGGAAAAAAAGCUCCUCUGGUGAGUCAGUGAAUCAUCCAUGUGUUCAUAUUUUGGAGCUGCAUGAGCUUCAUGUUCCUGUGCUGAAACCUGCCCCACAGUAUAUCAUCAGAAAGUAACAUGGAGUUCUCUGCAUGUUAGCUCAUCUGUAAGAAGGUCAAAGAGUGGCACGGGUACUUUGAACCGCAACUCCAACUCUGUAAUCUAAUUUCUUUAAGUCUUCAGACAUGUUCUUACUGAAAACAUAACAACCACAAAAAAGUAGAGCUGUGGAAAUCAAUUUUCUCAUUUAAUCAGCUUCUUUGUGAAUUCAACCAUAAAUUAUGUGCUAGAGGAGUCUAAUCACAUUGUAUAUGAAUCUUGCAUAAUUUGCAUUAAUUACAACCUAAGAUGUAAGUGCGUUAUGUGGCAUUGUAUGUAUUUUUAGUUUACCUCAUUAAAAAAGUUAUAGCCGCUUAUGGGAGACAUGACUUCUUUAUUUUUCCAAACACAUAAAAGAAGAAAAACAAAAUCCUACUGAUUACUUUAGGAAAUGGUAUCUUUUGGAAGAAGAUAAUCUUUUUAACGUUGCUGGUUCUUGAAUUGUUAUUAAAGCAGUGCUUCCCAGAGUUGCAAGAAUCUCCCUCUGUAUUUAAUCUCCUUUGCAGCGCAGAAGAGGGGUGCCUAAGAACCAGUUACCCAGAGUUCCCAUCAUGACUCAGCAGUUAACGAAUUCGACUAGUACCCAUGACAACAUGGGUUUGAUCCCUGGCCUUGCUCUGUGGGUUAAUGAUCCAGCGUUGCGGUGAACUGUGGUGUAGACUGCAGAUGUGGCUCAGAUCUCACGUUGCUGUGGUGUAGGCCAGUGGCUAUAGCUCCAAUUCGACCCCGGCCUGGGACCCUCCAUGAACAGUGGAUGUGGCCCUAAAAAGACAAACAAACAAACAAAUAAACAAACAAACAAAAACCAGUUACCCUAAUGAUUGCAAACCUCUGGUAAGCUGCUUUGAGGUCAGGUUUACUGUGUGGGUCCAGUCUUGAUUACUAUUCUUCAGAUGCUCAGGUGACUGGUAGUGGAUGUGGCUCCUAGUCAUUCGCAUUUUAUACUCAUGGGGCUAAUUCCCAAAGUCUUGGAAGUGCAGUUAUAAAGGGGAUGGUGGUUCCUCUCCAUAAACCAAGAUGAUCAUUUGUUAAGGAUUAUAGGUAGCUGUCGGGAUGGGUGGAAAGUCACUUGUAUGGCUAGAGAUGUCAAAAUAUUCCUGUUCAUUCUUCUGCUCAUUUCAUAAACGCUUUCCUGUGUGUCCAUCAUGCACGAAGAACUAAGCUGAGCACUGGGAAUUCUAAAAUGAACAAAACAAAAAGUUCCAUCUUCAAAGAGAUCAGUCUAAUAGAGAAGGCAGAAUAUAAUCAAAUUAUGUCAAUACUGUGCUAUAAGUAGUUUAAUAAAGAUAGGUGAAAAAACAGUGAUUGAUACGAGAGAGAGAGGACAAUUUCAUCUAGCAGGGAGGGUCCAAUCAGGGAAAGUGGAGGAGGAGAUGCAAAGCUGGGUCUUGAAAGGUGAAAAGGGAUGACAAUCCAGAAGAACAAAAAGAUUUCAGGUAAAGAGAAAAGCAUGUUAGAAGAUAAGGACCACUGUUUGGUACCUACAGGGGAUUGCAAGUGGUUUCUAAAGGGUAGCAAUGAUAAGAUGGGGUAGGAAGAGAUGGGUCAAUUUAUGGAGCAGUCAGGUCUUACUGUGUGUGUAUCAGAUUGAUCUAUCUCUCUACCCAUUCAUCCAUCCAUCCAUCUAUCUUGUGUGUGUAUAAUAAAAUUUAAUUCUGGAGUAUUAUCCCAGAUUUACAGAUAAGAAAGCUGAGACACAUCUGGCUAUCCAAGGCCACGUAGUUGGGAGUUAACGGCAUCAAAGUAUAAACAUAUACAGUUUGGAUCCUAGAACCAUGUUGCCUCAUUAUUACAUGAGAGUUUGGACUUUGCUUUCAGGGAAUGUUGAAGAGUUUCAGAUAGAGGAAUACUAUGAUAAGAGUAGUUUUAUAAAGACAACCCGCCCCCCGCCCCCCCAGCAACUGCAGUGUGGAGAGUGGACUCAAGAAGGGUCCAGGCAGAAAACCACUUGGGAGACCAGUGUUGACGGUCACGGCAGUGUAAUGAAGGCCUACACCACUGCAGAACAGUAAAGUCGUUUACCCGCUACGUGGCCUCACCAGCUAAGCUGGCACCAGACAGCAGGGUCUGGACUGAGCUUCGCCAUCCUGCGCCAUUCACGAUCUUGAUAAAAUUGGUAGUAAGAGAAAAGACCCUCUAUUCCAACCUGCAGAUGGGGCCCUGAGUCGCAGAAUUUAGAGUUGGGAGAAACGUGGGUUGAUUCAGAGCAUUGGUCUUCUCCAGUCAGGAAUUCCUCAUAGAACAUCACUGUCAGAUGAUGAUCCAUCCUUGCCUGAAUUCAUUAUCACAAAACGUCUUUCAAGGGAUCAACAACAUUUACUCAACAAACAUUUUUUGAGCAUCUAUUGUGGUUAAGGCUGUAGAUAAAAUGAACAAAACCCAACAGGAUUCUUCAGGAACUUACAAUCUUAAUAAUAAAUGUUGUUUCCCUCUACUAUCCACUUAUUGUCACUCAUUUUAUUCCCUAGAAUUAUACAAAAAAGCUUCUUCUCUUAGGCAUGGCAGCAUUUCAAAUACUGAAAGCUCUCAAGUAUCUCUUUGUUUUUCUCUUUUCCAAGCUAAACAUUUAGUUUCUCCAACAGUAUUUCACAUAGGACAGUCAAAUCUGCUAAUGACUGCAUGGUUUGUAAUGAGGAAAUUGCCAAACAUUACUGAAAAAAAAAAAAAUACAGCAUCCCUUACUAUUAGCAGAGUCCAAGAUUGACAUAUAAAUAAAAUCGGUUAUAAUUAGAAGAUUGCAGAUGCUGGUGGCUUUGGGGUAUCUGAUCACC